rnacentral:rRNA from 1 species
UGCAAGUCGAGCGGGGAGAGGUAGCUUGCUACCUGACCUAGCGGCGGACGGGUGAGUAAUGCUUAGGAAUCUGCCUAUUAGUGGGGGACAACAUUCCGAAAGGAAUGCUAAUACCGCAUACGCCCUACGGGGGAAAGCAGGGGAUCUUCGGACCUUGCGCUAAUAGAUGAGCCUAAGUCAGAUUAGCUAGUUGGUGGGGUAAAGGCCUACCAAGGCGACGAUCUGUAGCGGGUCUGAGAGGAUGAUCCGCCACACUGGGACUGAGACACGGCCCAGACUCCUACGGGAGGCAGCAGUGGGGAAUAUUGGACAAUGGGCGCAAGCCUGAUCCAGCCAUGCCGCGUGUGUGAAGAAGGCCUUUUGGUUGUAAAGCACUUUAAGCGAGGAGGAGGCUACUGAGAUUAAUACUCUUGGAUAGUGGACGUUACUCGCAGAAUAAGCACCGGCUAACUCUGUGCCAGCAGCCGCGGUAAUACAGAGGGUGCGAGCGUUAAUCGGAUUUACUGGGCGUAAAGCGUGCGUAGGCGGCUUUUUAAGUCGGAUGUGAAAUCCCUGAGCUUAACUUAGGAAUUGCAUUCGAUACUGGGAAGCUAGAGUAUGGGAGAGGAUGGUAGAAUUCCAGGUGUAGCGGUGAAAUGCGUAGAGAUCUGGAGGAAUACCGAUGGCGAAGGCAGCCAUCUGGCCUAAUACUGACGCUGAGGUACGAAAGCAUGGGGAGCAAACAGGAUUAGAUACCCUGGUAGUCCAUGCCGUAAACGAUGUCUACUAGCCGUUGGGGCCUUUGAGGCUUUAGUGGCGCAGCUAACGCGAUAAGUAGACCGCCUGGGGGAGUACGGUCGCAAGACUAAAA